UGCUGUGAGUAUCGCGCUCAAGGAUGGGCUCAUGUCCUAUCAGCUUGUUGGUGAGGUAACGGCUCACCAAGGCUUCGACGGGUAGCUGGUCUGAGAGGACGAUCAGCCACACUGGCACUGCGACACGGGCCAGACUCCUACGGGAGGCAGCAGUAAGGAAUAUUGCGCAAUGGGCGAAAGCCUGACGCAGCGACGCCGCGUGGGGGAUGAAGGUCUUCGGAUUGUAAACCCCUUUCGGGAGGGAAGAUGGGAUGGGUAACCAUUCGGACGGUACCUCCAGAAGCAGCCACGGCUAACUUCGUGCCAGCAGCCGCGGUAAUACGAAGGUGGCAAGCGUUGUUCGGAUUCACUGGGCGUACAGGGAGCGUAGGCGGUUGGGUAAGCCCCCCGUGAAAUCUCCGGGCCCAACCCGGAAAGUGCAGAGGGGACUGCUUGGCUAGAGGACGGGAGAGGAGCGCGGAAUUCCCGGUGUAGCGGUGAAAUGCGUAGAGAUCGGGAGGAAGGCCGGUGGCGAAGGCGGCGCUCUGGAACGUUUCUGACGCUGAGGCUCGAAAGCGUGGGGAGCAAACAGGAUUANAUACCCUGGUAGUCCACGCCUUAAACGAUGGAUACUAAGUGUCGGCGGGUUACCGUCGGUGCCGCAGCUAACG
rnacentral:rRNA from 1 species